UUUGUGUUUUGCACUUUUUAUGAGAGCUAAACAUUAAAAUUCAGCGCUAAAUCUUACCAAACACCCCUUCCUCCGCUCCAUCCUCACCACCCACACAGACGAGCGCACACACACAUAUGAGGAAACACACAACAUAUGUGCUCGUUAAACUCCUUUCUGGGCUUGUAAGACGAGCGCCGAGAUGCCCGUAAGAAAGCGCCGGCGUUACACGCUCCGGCGGCCGGGUCGCCGCGCACCGCCGCCCGGGAAACAACCUAUCCGCGAUGGAAUCGGAAUAACCUGCACUAACAUAUAAAAGUAUAGCUUAUAACGCAUAUUUAGCGGCAAACUUAGUCUGACAGAAAAAAAACGGCGUUCUAUUACGUAAAAUGUCCAUAUGCUUGGGUGAUUCAACUACCUUUUUACUCAUUUUGCACUCAAAUGCGCAUUUUAUACUCAAAUGCACUAAAUAAGUAAAGUUAUUAAUAAAUAAAGGGCAAGAUUAACCAGAAGGCAAUGUACCUAUUAAUUAGAUGUUCUAUGAAGACGGCAAACCACAUUGCAUUUUUAUUUGAUAACAGUGUGUAAUGUUUUCAGGUAAAAGAAGGUCAGGUAUAAACUUGGGUGCAGAUCGUGGGUAGUCAGGUUGUGGUCAUUGAUUUAAUGUAAAAACUGCUGUAUUUAGAAGAAAUAUUUGUAAAAAUUUUAAGUGUUUUUUUUUCUCUGACUUUGAACACCGUAUGUUGUGUGUUGUUCCUCUGCAAAAUCUUUAUGAAGCUUUAGAAGCAAGCGUUUCGAAGAGAAGUAGGCCCACAUAACAUGCAGCCGAUGCAACCUUUAAAUCAACACCGACUAACCUGCCCUCCUGGGCUAUUAUCCGGUCAGAGCUGUUUAUCUGAAAAUAUGAAUAACAUUACCCAUCAAGUGGGAUUUUAAAGGCAAUUCUUCUUUAAAGGAAAGACAUGCACUUUUUUUGUGUGGAUGGGGGGUCUGUCUCUGUACCCUGCAACUACAAAGGCGAUUUUUUUGCUUUUGAUUUUGUUAUUAGUUUUGGGGAACCAGUUGGCAUUAACCCAUUAAUGCCUCUCUCUCCCUCUUCAUUUUGAUCUCCCCCUCGCUCCUUACCACAAAUUUACCGAAAUUGAGGUUUAAGGACGAUCACAAAUCGGCCUGAUGCUGCUCCCGGGACCACUGGCACCGGGUCAUGGGAGAUGGAGUGAUGGUGAUAUUGGGGGAGAUGAACGUGGCAUUACAGAAGUCGGAGGUGCUACGGCCAAACAUGGGGCCAGAGAUGGGUCGGACGCAAACGACUGUUUGCAGAAGAUGUUCGGAGACAACAGUUGGGCAGGCUAAAACCCUAUAGAUUUUAUACAGCCACAUUGUGUAGGCGGGAAAUCUGUUCAUCUUCCCGAACAGGAUGUUUGUCAGCAGGUGGAAGAUAGGCGUCGAUUUGGGAAGGUACAAACAUUUGACAGCGUUCAACUCGAUCCGCCGACAGAGAUCUCACAAAGGGACGAGGCAUCCGACGAGCAGAAGCUCUUCAGACAGAGGCCUGUUUGAUUGGCUGUUGGAGGAGAGGUGUCACAGAGGACUGAUAUCUCGGAGAGAAAAUUCCGGAAAGCCCAUGGUGACUGAGCCGGCUGAAGGAUUACUGAGGGGAUGGCAUACCAGAUGUUGCUUUGACGUUGAGUGAAUCCAGGUACACACAUACCACACGUAACUCACCUUAGUGUCAACAUUUGGUUUGAACAAAAAAUAUAUAUAUAUUUUUAAAUCAUUUGUUUAAAAAUUAAUUGGUAAAUCUUGGUCUUGCUCCAAUAUUGUUUGCACUUGUACCUCGGCAUCCAUCGAUAGCUCAGCCUUGCUGCACUGUCAAUGCAAGUUGACUCGUUGACAGCACAUAUGUUUGCUAUUUACCUCACUUGUAUGUGGCUUUGGACAAAAGUGUCUGUUAAAUAAAAGUAAAUGUAUUGUAAUAUAAUGUAAACCCUACGGAGAUUAAGGUCUCUUUUGUCCAGGCUGGAAGCCCAUUUCAAAUAUUUAAAAUUGAAACACGCACUAAAGACAAAAUAUACCAGCAAAUAGACAGACAUC